GAGUAAGGAAGUAGGACCUUUUUACCCCGGCUGUGAGUUAUUACUGACCCCUCUCUGUCUCUCCCCCGCGCUGUGAAUGAAGUGAGUAAUUCGUUGGUGCUUGCCCUUCAUUAAGUAGUUCGGAUGGCUGGAUAAAUGCUAUGCUCUGCCACGCUUGCCUGACCACGAGAAGCCUUAGGGUAAAAUAAUCUUGAACAACAAUUUGAGAGCAUCUUUGGAAUUGAAAAAAGGGGCUAACCUGACUUUCACUUUCAUAAAAAGAGAAAACUGGACUUGCACUUUAAGAAACGGAAUUGCGAUGAUCCAGAAGUUAGAAUCUCGCCUAACCACCUGUCUCCGUCUCCCGUAGUUCCCCCCAAAACAUCCGUUUGCCUACUUCUACUCUGGCCGGGGGUAACAGUCUUUUUGAGAACCAAGUGGCCCUUGAGGAAGACCUUCAGAAAACCCCUCUAACUCGGGGAAAGGAAUUCAAGCCCAUAAAAUGAGUCAAGUCUAUGAUAGGUACCAAUAGUCUUUAUGGCGCUCUUACCCCUUAUGCAAAGCACCAAUGACUUCGGUCUUCUGAAAGGGGCUUAGGGCAUAUCAUCAAAGAAAGAAUCCCGAGGAAGGGGGUGAAGCUGAGGUUAGAAACGGUUUCUCCCGCUGUUGCUAGUUCUUCCGUUGUUGGUAGUUCCUCAGGUCGGGUUGUUUAUUUUUCAGAGCUUUUUCAAUUCUUUCAGAACCUUUCGUAUGCGCCUAUUGGAAGAUUUGGGCUACCUCCUCUCUUUCCGNGUAGAACAAACAUAUGAGUCGAAGUUUAUCUGUUCCUUCUUGGAUUAGAAGCUGAUAUCUGGGCCCCUCGAUGAUUUUGUUUUGACCUAUGUACCGGGCCCGGUCAGAACUAAGUUGAUGUGUUCAAUUAAGUUCUAUGUCAAACAAAUCGGAAAUCGGGAAACAACUGCUGGACAAUAAGCAAGACAGUGUUCCAUGUGUUUGUCCGGCUGAUAUCUAGAACAGAGGAUUAUAUGAUCCCUUAUCUGAAAUGGCGUACCAUCAUCUUCUCAGUUCCGAGAAACCUUGAAAAGAGCUACGAUUGCCGAUCGGUUCCUGAAGUCAUACUUGCAGUUAUAGUUAUUAGACUUAUCCAAGUGGGAGACUGUUGGAUAAGGUGUCUAAGUCCAUAACUAUUUCUGGUAUGUACUUGACCCGACCCGGCAUGGUCCAUUUGGGUUGCAUGGCACCAUGCAAUUGGAUAGACUAAAUGAGAGAAAUAACACUUGUGGUUUAUUAAUAUAUUAUAAGUUCUAAUAUAUUAAUAAUAUUAUUUAAUUAGUUUAAUCACGAAUUAAUUUAGAAUUAAUUAAGUGAUCAAAAAGAUAUCUAAUUAAAUAUAUGGGUUGAUUAUGUAAAUCAUCCAUAUCUUGUAUAGUGGGCUAAGAGGCUCCAUGGAUAAUCAAGUUGGGUUAAACCCAUUGGAUGGGCCAUGGAGGCUCCAUGGGAGUUACAAACCCAUGGGUCAUGGAAAUGAAGAGUCAUGACACAUCAGGGUUUACAUGGUGUAACCCUAGAUGUGUCAACACUAUAUAAAGUCCAUGUCUCUCCCAAAAUCGGCUACACAUGCAUACUUGAGGGCUAGAGCCGAUUUUUAGAGUGUUAUACUUUCUCUCCAAGUUUACUUCAUAGCAUUUGGUGUUGUGUGAAGCAUUUAAGGCAUCACACUUGGGGUGCUAGGCUCACAAGGUUUCAAGGAUCAAAAUCAACAACAAGGUAUGUAGUUCUAUCUAUUAUUCAAGUUAAAAUUGUUCCCCAUGUAUGCUAGAUAGGAUCAUAGCCUUGGAAAUCAACUUUGCAUGAUAAUCAGACAAACAUAGAUCCAAGGUUAUUAGGGUUGCAUGUACACUUAGGAAGUGUUAGAAUGCUCAAAACCCAACAGCUACAAGUUGCUCCAAAUGCUCCAAAUACUCCAAAUGAGUUCCAAGAGCUUCAUUGAACUCAAAUGCUCGACGAGAAUGCCCAAAAUGCUUAAGUUACAUAUAACAAGUUCCCUUGGUGGUAGUCCAUCAAGGCGGCUUAACGACUAUCGAUUCAUUAGGUUUUUUCCAUCAAACGAAUUUAAAAGAGGAUACACCAUUUUCCUUCCAUAUACAGUUAUAUAAACUUUAGGCAUGAAAAAUAAUUAACGAAACAAUGAAAGUAUGUAAACCUAGUUGAUUUCACAGUCGUUAUCUCAUGACCACAUGGUAUACCAAGGUAUUAGAAUUUUCUACAUGUACAAGUCAUAUCUUGUAGAUUGACAACACCAUCCUUUAAUAUGCUGAUAACAUGUCCAUAUCAUUCAAAAUAUUAGACUUCAUUACAUUACAAUGCACAUUAUAGAAGCACUACAUUUACUAGUUAUCAUGAUCAAUAUUAUCAACGCAUUAAACAAUGAAUCAUAAUUACACGGUGAAACAUAGCCAAACUCUUUUCGAAAUCAUACAUUCUACAUGCUUCACAUGUCUCCAAGAAUAUACCUUCCACUACUUGAUUUUUUCUAGUCUUAAAUCACGAAUUCAUAAUUAGUUUUCGGUAAUAAAUUUCCAAUGUCAACAGAAUUGGCCAUAUUAGAUAUGACAACUAGUUUCCUAACCUCCACAAGACAUUCCUUCAACCUCGUUAAAAACCAGGACCACAAUUCCACACUCAAUGUUAUGCUCACUAUGUAGGUUAGGGUAUGAAUUUGGUGGUUUCAAUCCAUGGAAACUACUAAGAACAUGUUAGGGUAUGAAUUUGGUGGUUUCCAUCCAUGGAAACUACUAAGAACAUGUUGUAUAAGUAGUUCCCUUUAAGGGGGCACCAACUAUUAAGAUUAAUGGUUGUAUACAAUUUUAGAAGUAUAUAUAUAUCUACAUAUUAAUACACCACCAAUCACAACAAGAUUGAUUAUAUUGGAGCUACAAACAAACCAAUGUUUUAUAAAAAAUGAAUCCUACCACAUAACUUAGGACGCCAGAGAAGAACUCAAAACGGUCAGAGUCAUCUUUUUAAUAUAACUAAUUAUUAUGAGAUUGAUUUUUAUUUAUUUAUUUAUUUUUAAAGAUUAUAACAAUAGAGGUGGACAUUAACAAAACUCUCUUUUUUGGAUUCAGUUAGAUAACCUAAUUUUAGAUGAAAAUAAACUAUAUCCAUGAUGGUAAAGAUAAGCAUGUCCAAACCUUAACCAACGGAUAUGCAUGUAAGAAGUUUUGAAAUCUGAAAUGAAAGUAUGAAAUAUGAGCCUGGAAUGUAAGUCCUAAACACUUUAAGUCCAAUUUGUUUUAGAAAAAAAAUACAUCCAUAAUGUACUUUCUAAAUAGUUAUUUUGAAAUGUCAGUCUCAAACACUUUAAGCCCAAUUUAUGUUAGAAAAAUAUAUACCCAUAGUAUACUUUCUAAGUAGUUAUUUUGAAAUAUCAUAAUCCUAAACAUUUUAAGUUACAAAUCUUUUCGAAAAACAUAUUUGCUGAUAUAAUUAUAAUGUAAUCCCAUGACAUUUUAGAUUUGGUGGUCAUAUUUACAAACAACAUAAACUUUGAUCCUUUCCCUUAAUUUACAAUAUCAUGUAUCUUUAAACCAUGAUUAAACAAUCAAUGUUAUUUCAUAAGUAAUAAUAAUUAUUUAUAUAACCCAAUGUUACAAGUUACAACCAUUUCUAAAGAUAACCAAACAAGAGUUUGUCUUAUUCUUGGCCCAUUCUAGGCUUAUACCCAAAGCCAGGCGUCAGGUCCUUUGGUGUAGGUUAUCAAAAUGCCACCUCUUCCCCUAAAAUGAACCCCCACGCCAUUGUCACUAUCAUCUCGACAUUAACACAAUUCAUCAAACCCUAGAAUCGAAAAGGAAACCCAGCCCCCAUAGCUUUCUUCACAGUUCACCUCCUCAAAGAUCUCAUCGGUAAUAAAUCAAAUUAUUCUUUGCUUUAUACUCUUCGUAUGCGACCUUCUAAUCUCUUUCUGUACGCAUUCUCUAUAUUAUAUAUCACAAAAAUUCCUCUACGCAUAGUUUGUUGUUGUAUAUUUACGAUUCUUUUAGUCGACGAGAAUUGAUUUUUCCAUUUCGCGUGUUUUUCUGGUCCUAGUUUCGAAAUGGUUUCAAACAGUUCGUCGCAGUUCACGUACGUAUAUCGAUUGUUUAAGUGAAAUCGUUAUGGUUGGGGUUUAAUCGUUGAUUCAAUCAUUCAUCGGCAAUAGCUUUUCCGAACAUAAUAACAUUAGUUAAUACUCGUUGAUGUGUGCUUUGGUUAUUUUUUAGUAAUUUAGAUAUGUUUUCAAGGUUUUUAUCUCUGUUUUCUCUGUUUAUAUUGAUGCAUGGUUCAAUUUGCCUUUCCCUAACGAAAAAUGAAAUUAUAUGAACUAGAUUAAAAGAUACGAACCUCUUAAUCUAUCUAGAUUCGUGUGUGUGUUGAGAAGUCACUUAUUUCGUUCUUCUGCUGAUUAAAAUUGUUUUCACACAGUUCACCAUCGGACUUUAUGCUUCCUGGAAAGAGAUCAGCUGGAGGAGAGGUAGUAGUGGAUGAAUCAUUGAUCAAGAGAACUAAGAUUGACAGCUUGAUCUCGUCUGCCGCCACCACCACUGCUGCAGCCACCACAAGCACCGGGACUUCUUCAACUGCUGUCACCAUGGGAGGAGGAAACAACCCUAAUGGUACCACCAAUGGUAAAAUGCCCAUUGGUGGUGACUCAAAUCAAACAGAUAUUGAUGAAGAUCUUCAUAGCAGACAGCUUGCAGUUUAUGGUCGGGAGACUAUGAGGCGGCUAUUUGCAUCCAACAUUCUAGUCUCUGGGAUGCAGGGCCUUGGAGCUGAAGUUGGUGAGUCUAAUAUACAUGUUCAUGUGUGUUUGCUGAGUUAAUAUGACAUAUUUAUGCAACUAUUUGGAUGAGAGCUUAUAUAAAUACUUGAUAACCCUUUUAUCAUCAUUGAUAGUUAAAUAAAUGAAUGCUUGAAGGGAAGUAAGAAUGCCUUGUCUAUUGCUUCUUGUAUUUAUGCCCUGAUUUGUACUUUGCAGCCAAGAAUCUUAUUCUUGCUGGUGUCAAGUCCGUGACAUUGCAUGAUGAGGGAAAUGUUGAGCUGUGGGAUUUAUCAGGCAGUUUCAUUUUUACUGAAAAUGAUGUGGGAAAGAACAGAGCUCUUGCUUCCAUCCAGAAAAUGCAAGAACUUAACAAUGCUGUUGCUAUCUCUACUUUAACAACUGAAUUAACUACAGAUCAGCUAUCUCAGUUUCAGGUACUCAUUGUUUUUAGUUCCCUCUGAUUUCAUUUCUAUAUUGUUUACUUUUGUUUGCUUCUAAUCAUGAAUGCCACAAGUUAAUACCAUUGUAUACAAGGAUAUUAUCCAAUUUACCAUAUUCUAAAAGUUUAUAUAACUUUGCAAUUCUUAUUACAGGCUGUAGUCUUCACUGACAUCAGUUUAUCAAAAGCAAUCGAAUUUGAUAACUUCUGCCAUAAACACAACCCUCCAAUUGCGUUCAUAAAAUCCGAAGUCAGGGGUCUUUUUGGAAGUGUCUUUUGCGAUUUCGGCCCUAAAUUCACAGUGUCUGAUGUAGAUGGAGAGGACCCACACACAGGCAUCAUAGCAUCUAUAAGUAAUGACAAUCCAGCCCUCAUCACAAGUGUUGAUGACGAACGUCUCGAGUUCCAAGAUGGGGACUUAGUCGUCUUUUCCGAAGUCGAUGGGAUGUCCGAAUUAAACGAUGGAAAGCCCCGAAAAGUCAUAAAUGCAAAACCGUAUUCGUUUAGCAUUGAAGAAGAUACAACAAAUUAUGGAGCUUAUAAGAAGGGCGGAAUUGUCACUCAAUUAAAACAACCGAAAGUUUUGAAGUUUAAGCCUUUGGAAGAAGCAAUUAAAGAUCCUGGGGAGUUUCUUCUUAGUGAUUUUUCGAAAUUUGAUCGGCCUCCGUUUUUGCAUUUGUUGUUUCGGGGUCUGGAUAAGUUUGUUUCCGAUUUUGGAAGGUAUCCAGGGGCAGGAUCGGAAGAAGAUGCGCGAAAAAUGAUUAAUUUGGUUAAUCAAAUGAAUGAAGAAUUGAAAGAUGGAAAGAUUGAUGAAAUUGAUGAGAAAAUUGUUAGGAGUUUUGCGUUUGGUGCAUGUGCUGUUUUAAAUCCCAUGGCUGCUAUGUUUGGAGGUAUUGUUGGACAGGAGGUUGUGAAGGCUUGUUCAGGGAAAUUUCAUCCACUACUUCAGGUUAGUUUUUAGGGUUAAUCUCAUAAAAGACCUUUAUCUUUUGUGUUUUUUCUGGAUUAUACCUCAACUUUACUUUUUUUCCUGAAAAAGACCUUAAAUUUUUUCUGAUCUGGUCCUUUUAGUCAUUUUUUAAGAAAAAAGCUGUAAAAUGUGAAGGUUUUUUCGGGAAAAACUAAAAAAGUUGUGGAUUUAUUUGGAACCAGUUAGAAGGUUAAGGUUUUUUUUUUUUUUUUUUUUUUUUCUGAAAAAAAACAAAGUUGAGGGUUUUCGAGAAAAACUAAAAAAGUUGUGGAUUUAUUUGGAAACAGUAAAAAAGGUUGAGAGUUUUUUUUUUGGAAAAAAAGAUAGUUGAGUUUUUUUUUUUUUUUUUUUUUUUUUUCCGAGAAAAAUGAAAAAAGUUGAGGACUUAUUUGUAAACAGUUAGAAGGUUGAGGAUUUUUUUCGGAAAAAAAGACAAAGCUGAGGGUUUUUGUUAUCAGAAAAAAAGUCAGUUCAGGGUUUUUUUUUGGAAAAAAUGAAAAAAUACAAGGUCUUUUUCAGAAAAAAAUAAAGAUGGGGGUUUAAUCCGGAAAAAACAAAAAAAUAUUAUUUUAUAAGAAUAACCAUAGUUUAUUUAUUUAUUUAUCAUAUUGUUGUUUUUGUCUUUGUUUGUUACAUUGGACUGGAGAAGGGCAAAAUGGUCAGAAACUGAAAUAUAUAUUUUUUAAUUUUUUUUGUUUACAGUUUUUCUAUUUCGACUCCCUGGAGUCACUUCCCGUUGAACCCUUAGACCCCAACGACUUAAAACCCUUAAACACGCGAUACGAUGCUCAAAUCUCAGUCUUCGGAUCCAAACUCCAAAAAAAACUGGAAGAAGCCAAAGUCUUCAUAGUGGGGUCCGGUGCCCUCGGGUGCGAAUUCCUAAAAAACCUGGCCUUAAUGGGCGUCUCAUGUGGCCAAUCCGGAAAACUCACAAUCACAGACGAUGACGUCAUCGAAAAAAGCAACCUCAGCCGUCAAUUCCUCUUCCGCGACUGGAACAUCGGUCAAGCAAAGUCAACCGUAGCCGCCACAGCGGCCACCUUAAUAAACCCAAACCUCAAAAUCGAAGCCCUCCAAAACCGGGCCAGCCCCGACACCGAAAAUGUCUUCAACGACACUUUCUGGGAAAACCUAAGUGUGGUGGUGAACGCGCUUGAUAAUGUAACUGCUCGGCUUUAUAUCGAUCAGAGGUGUUUGUAUUUUCAGAAACCGCUUCUGGAAUCGGGGACUUUGGGGGCGAAGUGUAACACGCAGAUGGUGGUCCCGCAUUUGACUGAGAACUACGGGGCGUCGCGGGACCCGCCGGAGAAACAGGCGCCGAUGUGUACGGUGCAUUCGUUUCCGCAUAAUAUUGACCAUUGUUUGACUUGGGCGAGGUCGGAGUUUGAGGGGUUGUUGGAGAAGACGCCUGCGGAGGCGAAUGCGUAUUUGGGGAAUCCCGGGGAGUAUACUGCUGGGAUGGAGAAAGCAGGGGAUGCUCAGGCGAGGGAUAAUUUGGAACGGGUUCUUGAAUGUUUGGAGAAGGAGAGAUGUGAGUCGUUUGUGGAUUGCAUCACGUGGGCCCGCUUAAAGUAUUCUUCUCUUCUCUUCUAUACUCCUUCUUUAUAUAUAUAUAUAAAAGUAGCGGAAAAGAAUUUUUUUAUGAAAAGGGUGGUUUGUGAAAGAAAUAUUUUUGUUUGGGUUAAUCUCAUAAAAGGCCUUAUGUUUUUUUUUUUCAUAAAAAAGACCUUAUAUUUUUUACUUUUUUCUGAAAAAGCCCUCGACUUUGUCUUUUUUUUUCCUAGCUUCUAUAUGUUUUCAAAUAAUUUUUCUAGUUUUUUAAUUUUUCCUGAAAAAAUUCUCACAUUUUACAACUUUUUUUUGGAGAAAAAUGACUAAAAGGGCCAGAUCGGAAAAAAUAAAAGAAUGCAAGGUCUAUUUCAUGAAAAAAAUAAAGUCGAGGUUUAAUCCGGAAAAAAACACAACUAUAAGGUCUUCUUUUGUUCAAAGCUGUUUAAAUCAGGGUCCCCCUCUAGUUUUUUUAUUUUACAUUUUUUAGUCAACAAAUUUUUUUUUUUUUAAAUUUUGCGAAAGCUGAAAAUGACUAUUUUUUUUCCCGCCAGAUGCCAUCUCAUUUUGGCAAAUAGUUUUCUGCCAAAAACUAACCUUUUCCCAUGAAAUUGCUUCAUUAGUGAUCUGCUCUAGAAAACUUUCAUUGUUUUUUUAGCAAAAUGACAUCAUUUUCGUGAUUUUUUAUCCGUAAAAUUCUGCUUCAUCGGUUUUCCUCACCAGAAAAUUUGUUAUACUUUUUUUCCGCCGUUUUACUUUUUUGCCAUUGUUUUCCCCGCAAAAAAAGUACCAAAAAAUCAAAUUUCAUAAAAAGUGGUUUUUCAAAAUCCAAUUGCAAAACGAGUCAUAUUGUGUUAAUAGACAAGUCUUAUUUCAUGGUUACUUUUUAUGAUUAACCCUUACAUAUAAUAUAUUAAUUAAGUAGAGAAUUCAGGUAAAAAUACCACCUGAUUUAACUUUUUUCGCAUCCAGGUUUGAAGACUACUUUGCUAACCGCGUGAAACAGCUAACAUUCACAUUCCCUGAAGAUGCGGUCAACAGCAGCGGGUCUCUAUUCUGGUCCGCCCCAAAACGUUUCCCCCGCCCUCUCGACUUCUCAGUCAACGACCAAAGCCACCUCAACUUCGUAAUAGCCGGUUCCAUUCUCCGGGCGGAAUCAUACGGGAUUCCGAUUCCGGAUUGGGUCAAAUCCCCCACCAAAUGCGCUGAAGCCGUCAGCAAAGUCAUCGUCCCUGAUUUCGAAGCCAAAAAAGACGUCAAAAUCGUAACCGACGAAAAAGCCACCAGCAUGUCCACCGCUUCCAUCGAUGACUCAGCUGUCAUAACUGACUUAAUCAAGAAACUUAAAGCCUGCCAUCAGAAGCUUCCAGAAGGUUUCCGAAUGAACCCCAUUCAGUUCGAAAAGGUUCAGUUAUCAUUCCUUGAUUCCAAUUCCUUCGACAGAUUCAAUUCUAAUUAUUAUUUUUUUAAAAAUUUGUAGGAUGAUGACACGAAUUACCACAUGGAUUUAAUCGCGGGACUUGCGAACAUGCGAGCGCGAAACUACAGCAUCCCGGAAGUCGAUAAACUGAAAGCGAAAUUCAUCGCCGGAAGAAUCAUCCCCGCCAUAGCCACCGCCACCGCCAUGGCCACCGGAUUUGUCUGUCUGGAGCUUUACAAAGUCCUCUCCGGGAACCACAAAGUGGAGUCCUACCGCAACACUUUCGCCAACCUGGCACUCCCGCUGUUUUCCAUGGCGGAACCGGUCCCACCGAAAGUUAUCAAACAUCAGGAUCUGACGUGGACUGUGUGGGACAGGUGGAUCCUACGUGACAACCCGACUUUGCGUGAGCUUCUUCAGUGGCUUAAGAAUAAAGGUUUGAAUGCUUAUAGUAUUUCGUAUGGGAGUUGCUUGUUGUUUAACAGUAUGUUCCCGAGGCAUAAGGAUCGGAUGGAUAAGAAGAUGGUGAAUUUGGCUAAGGAGGUGGCGAAGGCGGAUUUGCCGAGUUAUAGGAAGCAUUUUGAUGUGGUGGUGGCUUGUGAGGAUGAUGAGGAUAAUGAUGUUGAUAUUCCUCAGAUUUCCAUUUAUUUCAGGUAGAGUGUCUUUGUCUGUCUGUCUUGUUGGUUUUUGGUUUUUAGUAACUGGUUGGUUGGUUGGUUGGUUGGAUGGAUAUGAUGGUACUUAUAAACUAGUAAAACCGAGGGGUGUUAUUGUAAGAUUUGUCUUUUCUUUGGGACGUGGUUCGAUUUCCGAUUUAUCAUGCUUUCUUUUUUGUUUUUAGAUUUUUGGGUGUUUGUGUUCUUUGUUUGCUCCGUUUGUUUGUUAGUUGUUACUGACAUAUGACAGGUUGUUAUGUGUUUGCGUUAGGCGUCCAAGAUGAAAGUUGCAAUUUUUUGUUAAACAUAAAUAUAUGGAAUGUGGUGGGAGAGGGAGUUGCUCUUGAUCUUGUGUAUUUGCAAAUGACAAAAACACCUUUCAAUUUUUAGGUUAAUUCUUGAUUUUGCUCCCUAGACAACUCCCAACUACAUUACUAGUCUUGUAACUUCGAAGGUGUAGAGAGUCCAACAUGUGUUGGGGUGUUUUGUGGGAGGUACCUGUGGUACCACCAUAGGGAACACCAGAAUCGUGGUGGGAGGGUUGGAAGUGAAAGAUGUGAGUUUUAAGAAAUUGUGGAGAAAAUGAAUGGAGUGAAACCAUAAAGAGAUUUUUUCCCCAAUGAAAGCAGGAAGCCAUUAAACACAUUUGCUUAAAAAAUGAAAAUUUGCUGAGUUAUGCGGAGAGGCGCAGAGUGCUUCUUUAGGGGCCAUUGGACUGAAGGUAUUUUUAGGGCUUUGAGGCUAUUUAAGGUGUAUUAACUCCAAGGGUUUGUCAUUUCUCAACCUCUAUAACCUCUACCUCUUGAAUGACCCAUAUGAAACUUGGGUUUUGAGAUCAUCUUCUCUCUUAAAAACUGUUUUUGGUGUUCAUUUGGUGAUCUUUGGUGCUCUGGAGUGAAGUAAACAAGAAAGAUUGAUCAUGGGAGAUUUGAUCUGAAGUAUUCAACCUUCUUACCACUUUUAGACUCUUAUAAGUCAAAAAUUCAAGCUCUAUAGGUUUUCAUCUUUAGAUCUACGUAUAUUUGGUGUUUUUGUCAAAUUUUGAUGAAGUUAUGGUCCCUUUAUGACUUGAUCUAUGGAGUUUGGAUAACUCCAUGAACUUAGAGUCAUGUUUGCUUCAGAUCUAUUUUUUGGGGUGAGAUUUGAGUUCUUGCAUGCUAUCUUUUGCUCCAAGCAUGAAGAAAGAUGCAUUCUUGGACAUUUCUUGACUUACGUUUUUAGAUCUAGUAUGUUUGGAGUGUUUGAAUUGUAACAACCCGUACUUUUCAUAAUCAUUUCACAUUAAGAUUCUGGAAAAAUUAUAGAGUUUACAUGCAUGAUACUAAAAACUAGAGUUUCAAAAAUCUUUUAAAAGUAUUACCAGAAACAACGAGUGCUACCAAUUCAUAUAUUAACCAUAACUAAAACAAACAAGGAUAAACAUGAAACGAAAUUUUAGUCCGAUGUCCCUGAUGCUUCUAAGUUCUCACACUCUAUGGUUUGUUAUCUGAACUUGUAAAACACAUGGAAACAAUAUCUGUUAGACUAUAAGUUUGGUGAGUUAUACAUAACAUAAAAUACAACAUAAUCAUAAAACAUGUAUAUGACUUGUCACAUGAGUAACCAAGCAACUACACAUACCGGAUGACAAACAACCGAUCAUUAUCAUCUUUGUUUCCAUACAAGACUCUAAUCACAAUCUUUCCUAAGGAUCCCUUAAUCUAACUUUUUGCAUGCACGAACACACACAUCAUAAAACAUAACACACGUUAUUUAUAAUAAUACAAUCUAACAACGAUGUAAUCGGUAAUUACAUCCAUACAUUCACAUGCAUGCACAUGUUCUAUAUCAUAUAAUCAUACUCUAAAAGAGAAGUAUAACUCACUUUUGUUAUGGAAUAGCAACCUACUUCUAACUUCUCCAAAGCUUCUCUUGAGAGGCUCCAAUUCCUUCCUUGCCAUAACCUAUGACAUUUACAUACAUUAAGCUUCUUACAAAUGUAUUAGUUCAUUAAGGCAUUACUAGUGAUUCUAGCCAAAAGUCCAUAUUUUGACAAAAACAGUUAAUCUAACUAGAUUAUAACAUAUGAACACCUUCUUCAUCAUUCCCAUUUCUAGGGUUUCAAACCCUAUAACAAAUAAGGGAAUUUAACCAUUAUAACUUCAUACAAGCCAUGGAUUAAGAUUUUAAAUACCUAAUCAUACAUUAAUAUCAAGUUCACUUGAAGAAAUCUAGACUAAUAGCCACAAACUUGAACUCCACCAUUAAAGCUACGAAAAACUUGAAAAUGGAGAAAACAACUUCCAUAAGAAUUUGAGAUGCACUUACCUAGUCCAAAGCAAGUUAAAUCAACCCUUGAAGCCUUCUUAAUCACAAGAUCGAGGGNNNNNNNNNGGGGGAGAUGGGGAGCUCUAGAGAAAAUGGGGAUCGAUUAUGAACAAAUGAGCCUGAAGUCUAAAAUUUAUCACUGCUUGAAAUCGCAGCGUGACGAAGGUCUCACCGCACCGCAGUGGGUUAAAUGAACCCGCAUUCUCCGUUUUUGCCACGACGUAGAAACCAUUCUCCAUGGAAACCUAUUUUUCCCUCCACGCCGUGGCACCAUACACCACGCCGCGGAGCCAACAUACGUUGCCUACGACUUAUGAUGGAGAAAACACGAAAUCACCGCCUCGCUCACCGCAUCGUGGCAAGCGUCUCAUUGCGUCGUGUGAGGCUGGAAAAAACUUUCCUUUCCUUUUUCAAUGCCUUUCAAUCAUAAACUUGCAUUUAUUAAUUCCAUUCCAUUCUAAAUGAAAAUAUCACAUUCUUAUAGCUUCAAAACACAAGAUAAAUGCAUAUAACAUAUCCCAAAAGAUUUCAUAAGUCUAAUUAUCAUCAAAAGGACCAAAUACCCUUAACACCAAAAUAACAAUCUACAUCAUAUUAUCCCAAAAACCUUGGUUAUUACAUGGCUAGAUAAAGAUGGAAACUUUAUCUAUUAGGACAUCAUUUAGGCCAAGAUCUGAGAGUUGGAAGCUUGGACUUAAUGGAUUAAGUCGUUUGGAAUUUUGAUUUUGGCCUAGGCGUAACACACUUUCGUAAAAAUCUGAUCCGAGUAUAUUUUCGAACAAAAGCCCGACUAUUUUGUCCUGUUGUGGGAGCGAAGCACCUAGGAGGAGGCGUGACAUACCUGUUGACCUGGGGGUUGACUUUUGACCAGUUUGACUUCUGGUCAAAUUGAGGGGUUUUGAGCUAUAGACUAAGGUUUAGUCUCUGUUUGGUUAGGUGGUUCGUGUAGCUGAUUCAUUGGGCUUCGAGUAGUGGAUUUAAGCUCUUUGACCAAGUGAGUUUUCUUACUGUAUUACUUAUGUCAUAGUUGCUAUGAUUGCACUACAUGUCACCUGUAUUGCUAGAAACUUGAUUAUUGUUGUAUGUUUAUAUGUUGUAUUUGAGUCACUUUGGACUCGGGGUUGAUACAGACUUAUUGGGUUGAAACAUACCCGUUGCUAUUAUAUAUGUUUAGCGUUGCUGUGCUGUAUGUGGUAUUUUGGAGAACUCACCAAGCUUUGUGCUUAUAGUUAUGGAUUAAAUGUUUUUCAAGUACUUAUCAAUUCGUGGGAAGGCGAAGGUGGGACUAUACACACAUCAUCAGAUUUAUGAUUCGAGAUUCGACAUUGCUUUUCUUUAUAACUUUGAUUUUUGAAUUAUGGUUUAUGAAAUAAAUAAUUUUGCCAUUAAUAUAUCUUUAUGAAAAUGGGUGUUUUUUCUAUAUUGAAUGAAAAAUUUAUUCUGAAAAUUGGGAUGUUACACUAAGUUUCGCACAUGAACAUAAUUUAUGUCACACACGAACCAUUCUUUGUGAAAGUCCCCAAAGAUUCCCCCAAAAGUCCAUCAAUGAUCGCUGGACAAAAAAAGGGUGAUCAACCAACAUCGAAUCAUCAUCCGUGCUAUAUAGGGUGAUAAUAUUGUCAUCCAUAGAGUUGUACCAAAGGAGGGGAUGCACGUAACUAGGGCCCCCUCCUCAUAUGGAACUAGGGAGAGCUCAACCAAAUCGAAAGGUUGAUAUGUCAUUGCAUAGCCAUCAAGUGUACUAAUUGGGUAUGAUAAGCUAACCAAGGAGCCUCUAUGAUGCUAGGUAAAGGUGCUUCAUAACAUGCAUUACCUUCCUGUAUGGUACUCUGCUGCAUGGGUCCAUCAACAUAUCCUAAGAAUAAGUAAUGGGUUAGUAAUUGUUAAAUGGUCAAGAUUGUAGUAGAAAAUUGAUAUUAUAAAUGUACCUAGACAUCAUGGGCGAACCCUACUAUAUGGGUGCACAAACAUCACCCUGCAAUAAAUAGAAAAUGGUUAUACAUUGUUAAAUGAUCAACAAUAUAGUAAACAUAUAAUAUAAAUAAUAUACCUUUCACCAUAUGAGGAACCCGUAAUGCCAUAUCCUAUGUGCCAUCAUGCUAUCAAGGUGUACCAAAAACAACCACCAAGAAAAAUGCCCCAUCAUUCUUCCCAGCUGCGCCUGUAUGUUAGGGUCUGUAUGUAUCCCUAAUGUGCCCUUGAUACAUGAUCUACAUAUACGUUUUACUUCUAUAGUACCAAAAGAGAUUAAGAAAAAUAUCUUACGUUCCUUAAGUUCCUUAUGAAACUUCCUUAUGAUUUGGUCCUUAUCUGCUUCUUCUAUUUGCCAUGGUGUAAUAUAUGCUGGUCCACUAUGUGAUAGUAGUUGUGUCCAUCUACUUAUAUGGUGGUGAAUAGGAGGUGGCAUCUCUAGGGAUGGUGAGAGAGAAAGUGUCAUGACAAGUGGUGGCAGAGGUAAACCAUCACUCUUAAUCUAGACCGAGCUACACGACCACCACUUAACACGCUACUCCUCCGGAGUUGGCUACAACGUAUCUAUGGGUUUAUUAUUCUCCUAUUAAAAUACCAAACUAACACUUAAUGACAUAUAUGGGAUAUAUUCGUAUAAUAUAGUUAAAAUGCUAAUUGUAAAAAAAUAAUCAUACAUGCCGAACAUCAAUGGCCGCCAUGCAACAAGACUGUUGUAACCAUCUAAGCUUAGGACAUGCAAUGUCCUAAGGGAUGCCAUUUGGUCUUUGUGUACCAAAUGUAUGAUAAAAUGUAAAUAUCUCCCCCCCUACACACACACACACACACACAUAUAUAUAUAUAUAAUUAACAUAUCACAAUAUUAGCAAACACAAUUAUGCUAAAAUUAAUAUUACUUCGAGAGCAUAUAAAAACCCAUGUAGGGUGUACGUCAAAUUAUGAGGUACUUUUUCUUUCACUUGGACGAGAAAAAUAUGCUCCUAAAAUUUUGUAUAUACCAUAAACAACUAAUUGUACAAUAUAUGCCAAACAAUCCUACCCCAUGGGUACAUGUGGCAAAAAAACAAAUCCAUUAAUUACUGUUGUGAUGCAAAGUGGUAAUCUAGGGUUGGUCUAGUGGGAUUACCCAGUGCGAUCGAGCCUUGGAAUACAAGAGACAAACUCAUUAUCCGUACUCCGGGAGGAGAUACCAGGAGGACGCUCCGACGAUCAAGUCAAUAUUUUAGGGAGAUAUUGUAUGAGUAUCAUCCUUCAGAGAGAACUUACCUUUGAAAGUGUGGUUAUCAGACUUAUAUAGUAAGACUUGAGAGAUGACUCCUCCUUUAGGAGACAUGAGCGCCAGUCCGAAUACGGGACAAUGAUGUUCAUUGGUGGAUACAUCAUAUAUUUCCUUCCAUGGAUUGUGAUUGGUUUAGUGGGUAUGUUGCUAAUGGUGCAUGCAUCACUAAUGUUUUUAGCUAAUACCGCUUUGUUGCUAGGCAACUUUCCCGCCGUAAGCCGACCAAGAGUGGGUAUUGGAAAGCUGCACCGAUGGGCGUUGCUUUCCAGGAUGGCAUGUGAUAGAUUCCACCCAAUCUCUAAUCAUGUGUUCCGAGGCGUCGCCGCCUAGCGUAUUUUUGCAUGGCCUGGUGGGUCGCUAUCAUGAUGAUGUGCUUCAAUAGAGUUUUGAUGAAGGGAAUGUUGGAUUAGUGUCUAAGUCCAUAACUAUUUUGGUAUGUACUUGACCCGAUGGUGCAUGGUCCUUUUGGGUUGCCUUCACCAAAGCAACUUGAUAGGAUGAAUUAUGGAGAGAGAGGAUUAAUUAUGAUUUAUUAAUAUAUUAUGAGAACAAUAUAUUAAAGGAGAAAUCAUAUUGUUUAAUUAAUAUUAGUCAAUAAUUAAAUAAGAAUUAAUUUUGUGUCUAAAAGACAUUAAUUAAAUAAAGGGGACUAGAACUGUCAAUUGUGUGAUAGUCGAAUAUUGGGCUAAUGGACUCCAUAGAGGAUGGAGUGGACGAAUUCUAUGAGGAAACCCAUUAGAAAUCGUCCAAGGCCUCUAAGGAGGGAGUCCAUGGGCUGCUUAGGGCCUAAGCAAUCAAAUUAGGGUUUCCUUAUUAGAUAACCCUAAUAGCGUCACAUAUUUAAGGACCCCUAGGGCACCAAAAACAUGGAUAACUGAUUCCUUAGGGUUUCUAGCCGUUUUUGGGUGUCUCUCCUCUUCUCCUUCUUCGUCCUCUUGCUCUUGGUGUUUGUGAGCCAUUAGAGGAGUGACAUUUGUGACUCUAAGCUUUCUGAAGGCAUUACAAGGAGGAUUUGAGAUUGUUAUUGCUACAUAACAAUCAAGGUAAGAUCUAAACCCUAUUCUUAUGUUAAUAUCGAUUAUCACAUGCUAGAUCUAGGGUUUAAAGUCUUGGAUGAACGCAUGUACAAUAGAGAAACCUAAAUCCAAGCAUUAGGGUUUGCAUGAGCACAUAGGAUGUUCUUAUAGCCAAAACCCAUCAGUGGUAUCAGAGCCAUGAUUGGUUUCUAUUGUAUGUGAUGCAAUGCUUGUUUAUCUGCUGAAUACCAUUUCAUCAGACAUCGAAUAGAAGAAGGACUCCUCAUGGCAAAGAGGGUAUCAUCGGAUGAGAACCCAACAGAUCCCCUCAUGAAGGGUAGGGUUAAGCAUCUCCAACAUGCGAGGCGUAUAGGGUUGAAGGAUGAUAUUAGUUUUAGAAAUUAGAUAGCGUUGAAAUGUGUAAAGUGUAACUGACAUUUGAUGAUGAAUAAAAGUUGUUGUUUAUUUAUAAGUAAAGUGUUGCUAUCUUUUGUCAAUCGUUUACUAUCAUUUCAUUUUGCAUGUUUUGACUUCCAGAAUAAUUAUGUUAUCGUAUAUCAUAUUAUUCAAACUCUCCACAGUCGGUCAUAUGUUGGAAGUAGAUAUGAAUCACGACUGUCAUGAGUUAGCUUGUAAAUGUCUAAGAUGUUGGACACAACAAAGUGUUGCUACAACACUCAUGAGUGCUCAUAAGUUCUGAGUAUUGGAUUCAACCCACGCUCACUUGUAUCACUUCAUGGAAUUUAUCUCGAGUGAUCGUGAGACGGUAAUAUCAUAUAAGUCUUCAAACCUAGAGAUAUGAGUUGUUUCCUAUGAGUUGGUUGUGCAUUGAUUGUACGAAAACACAUUGGUAACUCGAUGUUAUAAAACGUGUCUUUGUGUAUAAUUCAACAAGUAGUAGAACAAGCAUAUGAGUCGAAUUUUAUCUGUUCCUUCUUGGAUUAGAAGCGAUAUCUGGGCCCCUUGAUGAUUUUGUGUUGACCCAUGUACCGGGCCUGGUCAGAACUAAGUUGAUGUGUUCAAUUGAGUUCUAUGUCAAACAAAUCGGAAAUCGGGAAACAAACUGCUGGACAAUAAGUAAGACAUUGUUCCAUGUAUUUGUCCGGCUGAUAUUUAGAACAGAGGAUUAUAUGAUCACUUAUCUUAAAUGGCGUAUCCUCAUCAUAUCAGUUCCGCGAGACCUUAAAAGAGCUACGAUUGCUGAUCGGUUCCUGAAGUCAUUCUUGC
rnacentral:lncRNA from 1 species